CACCCGCAGCACGAGUAGUGGUCACUUUUAUUGAGCCUAAAGCGUUCGUAGCCGGUUUUGUAAAUCUUCAGAUAAAGCCUGAAGCUUAACUCCAGAAAGUCUGAAGAGACUGCAAGACUUGAGAUCGGGUGAGGUUAAACGUACUUUCAGGGUAGGGGUAAAAUCCUUUAAUCUGAAAAAGACCACCAGUGGCGAAGGCGCAUUCCCAGAACGGACCUGACGGUGAGGGACGAAGGCUAGGAGAACGAACCGGAUUAGAUACCCGGGUAGCCCUAGCAGUAAACGCUGCUUACUAUACGUUGCGUUUCCCUGAGGAAACGCAGUGUGACAGCGAAGGCGUUAAGUAAGCCACUUGGGGAGUAUAAUCGCAAGGUCGAAACUUAAAGGAAUUGGCGGGGGAGCACAAAAACGGGUGAAAUUUGCGGUUCAAUUGGAUUCAACUCCGGGAAUCUUACCAGAGGCGACAGCAAGAUGAAGGCCAGUCUGAAGAACUUGCCUAAUGCGCUGAGAGGUGUUGCAUGGCCAUCAUCAGUUAGUAUCUUGAGACGUCCCGUUAAGUCGGGUAACUAACAAGACCCUCUUCCAUAUUUACUAACGUGUAAUCCGUUACGAACGAGCAAAAUAUGGAGACUGCUUUCGAAAGAAAGAGGAAGGUGAGGGCGACGGUAGGUCAGUAUGACCCUAAUCCGCUGGGCUACACGCGAAUUGCAAUGGUAAAGGCAAUGGGAAGCAACUCCGAAAGGAGAAGCCAAUCCUCCAAUCUUUACCCUAGUUCGGAUCGAGGUCUGUAACUCGGCCUCGUGAACGUCGGAAUCCGUAGUAACCGCAUUUCAACAAAGUGCGGUGAAUACUUUCCUGCUCCU
rnacentral:rRNA from 1 species